AACGAACGCUGGCGGCAGGCCUAAUACAUGCAAGUCGAACGGACAGCAAUGUCAGUGGCAGACGGGUGCGUAAUACAUGGGAAUCUUCCCCGAAGUACGGAACAACAGUUGGAAACGACUGCUAAUACCGUAUGUGAUCUCCGGAUCAAAGAUUUAUCGCUUCGGGGACGAGCCCAUGUCUGAUUAGCUAGUUGGUGAGGUAAUGGCUCACCAAGGCAACGANCAGUAGCUGGUCUGAGAGGACGAUCAGCCACACUGGGACUGAGACACGGCCCAGACUCCUACGGGAGCAGCAGUAGGGAAUAUUGGACAAUGGAGGAACUCUGAUCCAGCCAUGCCG
rnacentral:rRNA from 1 species